UAACUCUGGUUUCCCUACAAAACGGAUAUAUCUUUUGCCUUUUACUAAAUACUUCCGUGGAGCGGAACAACUCAAUGAGUCUUACCCAUUUUUUUAUAGCCCACUUCCCUUAGUUCA
rnacentral:snRNA from 1 species